ACACGGUAGCUCCUUAAAUCGAAACACCGGCUAGUUUAACGCUAGCUGCAGUUUAAAGUUACCUGGCAGCCGACGUUCCUCCUCUAAACAGCAUUAUUUCUGAGAAGCCACGGGGUCAGGGCGAGUUGAAUCCCAUGCCAGAAUUGUCCCCAUGUUGACCUGCGCCUGACUGGCCUCCCAGCAAAAAGCCCCUGUGAAGGCAGAAGGCAACGAAGGGCCAGGCUGACUCCGAAGGUGAAAAACAUCCUCCUCCUCUUCCCCCAGCUUGAACAUCUGUCUCCGUGGUGUUGGCUGCAGCACCGACUCUGACACCUCCAGAUGGAGAGCCCGCUGGGAGCGCUGAGGCCCCUCAUGGUGAUAAGAGCCCGAGCAGAGAGGGAGGAAAAAGCCAUCCAUCAUCCACCAGGCUCGGUCUGAGGCGCCCUCUCCUGGCUGCACCUCCGCAUCACAUCAUCUGAGAGCAGCAGCAACAGUGAGAUGAGAGUCUCGAUCGUGACAGUGCAAAGUCUGGCAGGCAGCAGCGCGCUUCCUCCUGACGCAUCUGCGGGGCUGCAGUCUCUGUCGUCGUCUACUGACCCAGCGAUGAUCCCCGCCGCUAUGAAUUAUGCAUGAGAUCCGGGAUUUUAUCACCACAGCGAGAAAACGCGCGUCUGUCUGCAGAGAGGCUCGACCUGCGUCUGACUCCAGCCUGAAGUCCACGAAGACGCGCGCAGGGCAGCAGAGAGGACACGCGCUCCCACACACAUCAUCAUCACCAUCAUCAUCAUCAUCACCAUCAUCAUCUUCACCCACCGUGAUCAAGUGGAAACUGAUUUUCACUUUUAAAAAACAGUUCAUCUAAACAUCAGGCCUGCAGUGACAGCUCAGCCUCAACAGAGCAGCAGCUUGUGUUGGAGUUAAUCGCCGGCAUAUUAAAACAUGGUGCCCUUACCUUUGUUGAUAAUCCAUCAUUCCCUGUGUGGCUGCCACUCCGCGAGAAGAAGAAGACGCAGAAGAAGCAGCUCCUCUCGCUCUCUCCUCUCUGGCUGUUUCUCUCUCUCCCUCCACAUUUCCCACUUUUGUUCAAAGUGCUUUCAUGAUAGUAAUCCCCACCAUCCAGGAGUGCGCUGAUCCUUCAUUUUCAAGUAUAGAGCCACAUUAACAUGGCGCGCACAGCCCGGGCAUUGCGCGGAGAGAGACAGAGGAAGAAAAAAAAAACAACACCAGAAAAUGACGCGCACACGGCGGCCACAGUGUCCAAACCACGGCGCCGUGCGCGCGUUGCAUACACAAAAGAGCCAAGAAAACGUUGUUACUAGUGUUAAGUGAAUGAGCGGCGGAAAAACAGCAGCUGCAAUAUAACCUCAUGGGAAAUAAGUUCCCAUUCCUGCUGUCCACAUGACCGCCAGGAACCAAUCCCCGAGCCUGGCGAGUCGUAAACUUCCACGGCAAAGUUGUAAAUUUUCAUAAACAGCAGCCGGUUUUGUGCCUAAGACAAGCUUCCUCAUCGCCAUCCCUGUUUUAUUCUAUUUGUCUCUCCAAAGGCCUGAGCUGUUUGAGAUGUUAGAGAUGUUUGAGCUGUUUGAGGAGGAUUAAAAUAAAAACAGGUGUACAGUUGCUGGGCUGGAUGAGCUGCACUUGAUUCUGCUUUCUAAAGGCGUCCUUGCCGUCCUGCAGGACUCCCCCUCCUUCUGUCCGGCCGUGCAGCAGCUGGUGGAUCUGAUCCACCAC